rnacentral:lncRNA from 1 species
ACCUUCUAGAGAUCAUCCAGUCCAACUCCCCGGCCAAAGCAGGGCUGCCCAGAGCACAUCACUCAGGAGCAUCCAGGCAGGGCUUGAAGAUCUCCAGAGAAGGGGACUCCACACCCUCCCUGGGCAGCCUCUGCCAGGGCUCUGCCACCCUCACCCCAAAGAAGUUCUUCCUCACAUUGGAGUGGAACUUCCCAUGGUCCAGCUUGUGCCCGUUGCCCCUUGUCCUCUCACUGGGAACCACUGGAAAGAGUCCGGCUCCAUCCUCCCUCAACCUGCACUUUAGAUCCUUGUCAGCAUUGAUAAGGUCUCCCCUCAGCCUUCUCUUCUCCAGGCUCAAGAGCCCCAGCUCUCUCAGCCUUUCCUCACCAGGGAGAUGCUCCAAUCCCUCCAGCAUCUCUGUUGCCCUACGCUGGACUCUCUCCAGCAGUUCCCUGUCUCUCUUGAACUUGGGGACCCAGGACUGGACACAGGAUUCCAGUUGUGGCCUCCCCAGUGCAGAGCAGAGGGGGAGAAUGACCUCCUUUGACCUACUGGCCACACUCUUCCCUAUGCAGCCCAGGAUUUUGUUGUCCCUCUUGGCCACAAGGGCACAUUGCUGGCUCAUGGAGAGUUUACUGUCCACCAGGACCCCCAGAUCCUUCUCCUCAGAAGUGCUUUCCAGCAGGUCUAUCCCUAACCUAUGUUGGUGCCCAGGGUUCUUCCUCCCCAGGUUCAAGACCCUACACUUGCCUUUAUUGAACCUCAUGAGGUUCUUCUCUGCCCAGCUCUCCAGCCUGUCCAGGUCACACUGGAUGGCAGCACAGUCCUCUGGUAUGUCAGCCAGCCCUACCAAUUUGGUAUCAUCAGUGAACUUGCUGAGGAUACACUCUGUCCCCUUGUCCAGGUCAUUGAGGAGACACAAGGCAGUACAGAAUGAGGGUUGGACUUACAUGGUUAUGGUUUCUCUCUUCACUGCUUCACUUUCUGGGUGCCUGCAACUUGGUCUUUGUAUAUGUUUGGACUUCACAACC